UCCCUUGGCAGCUUCCUGGCCACAGAGGUGAACUUUCUAGGAAGUGUCUUUCCAGUGGCUCUUACCUGAGGCUGAGGCUCCAGCUGGGACACCCUGUACACUUCUGCCCUUGUUCUCCGCUGCGUCUUCGGUGAUUGCUCCUGCUCAGGCUACACUGCACUGCAAAUAUGAGCAAAUGUGAGUCAGUGAAGAUCUGCUAGCUCACACAGAAGUCAGACACUGGUUGUCCCAAGCCUUCCUUGGAAGAUGCUUUUCAAAACCCAUUUGUUCCAUAUCCACUUUGACUUGUGUAGAAGAAAAGCUAUACAGAGAGAGAGCUGAGCCAGGCAGAGCAGGCUGCUUGAGACGGAUUUUUUGCAGCACAGGAAUGAAUGAUUCUGUCACUCUCAGGAUACAGAGUCCAGGAUACGAACUGUUGUCUUCAAAAAGACUUGGAUUUAUCUGUUUAUAGCAUGAGAAAGCUUAGCAGCAACUAAAGGAGCAGGGGCAAUACCAGAAAUAUCACGGACAAUAGCUGCUGCUAGCUGGAUGAUCUUCCUGCCAAUACCCAAACCUGAAAGGAGAUUUCCAAAAGAAGUCAGCUUCCAAAACUUCUCAGUGGCCAGACUUGUGGGAGAAAACUGGAAAUUUAGACCAUCUACAUUGGACUAUAAAUGCAAUGCAAGCUUUUUGAGGAAAUCUGGCCCUUGCAUACCAGGUCACCAGAUCCUCGCCAGGAUGAAUUAGCAUAGCUCUCCAAGGUACAAUGGUGCGGCGCUGAUUUACAUCGGCUGAAAGCUGUCCCUUUGUCUGCUGGAGUUGUAGCGGGAGCAAGUUUAAAUCACAGCUUUGCAGUGGAGGCUCCUUCGACCCAGCCUCGCGGAAACAAUGGACCACAGUGGUGUAUUGCUACUGCUGUUUCCUGACAGCACGUACAUUUCCUUUAUAGUAACCUUGCAUAAAAGGCAUUUCUCAGGUCGUUAACAUGGUAGAUCCAUUGGACAGAAGCUUCCAGACCAGGCCCACAGAUGCUCUGUGUUAUUUUGUGCACUUGUAGCGCUCUUUCUGAUGAACCCCCAACUCCGUGUUUGUUUAUGAUGUAAAGCUGCCUAUUUGUCUCUAUGAUGCAGUAUCACCACUUUUGCCUUGUGCGUGGAUUCUGAGAUGCAGUUUCUAGACCUCAUGGCUGGUUCUGG